GAGUGGCGGACGGGUGAGUAACACGUGGGUARCCUGCCCUUAAGUGGGGGAUAACAUUUGGAARCAGAUGCUAAUACCGCAUAGAUCCAAGAACCGCAUGGUUCUUGGCUGAAAGAUGGCGUAAGCUAUCGCUUUUGGAUGGACCCGCGGCGUAUUAGCUAGUUGGUGAGGUAAUGGCUCACCAAGGCGAUGAUACGUAGCCGAACUGAGAGGUUGAUCGGCCACAUUGGGACUGAGACACGGCCCAAACUCCUACGGGAGGCAGCAGUAGGGAAUCUUCCACAAUGGACGCAAGUCUGAUGGAGCAACGCCGCGUGAGUGAAGAAGGCUUUCGGGUCGUAAAACUCUGUUGUUGGAGAAGAAUGGUCGGCAGAGUAACUGUUGUCGGCGUGACGGUAUCCAACCAGAAAGCCACGGCUAACUACGUGCCAGCAGCCGCGGUAAUACGUAGGUGGCAAGCGUUAUCCGGAUUUAUUGGGCGUAAAGCGAGCGCAGGCGGUUUUUUAAGUCUGAUGUGAAAGCCCUCGGCUUAACCGAGGAAGCGCAUCGGAAACUGGGAAACUUGAGUGCAGAAGAGGACAGUGGAACUCCAUGUGUAGCGGUGAAAUGCGUAGAUAUAUGGAAGAACACCAGUGGCGAAGGCGGCUGUCUGGUCUGUAACUGACGCUGAGGCUCGAAAGCAUGGGUAGCGAACAGGAUUAGAUACCCUGGUAGUCCAUGCCGUAAACGAUGAAUGCUAGGUGUUGGAGGGUUUCCGCCCUUCAGUGCCGCAGCUAACGCAUUAAGCAUUCCGCCUGGGGAGUACGACCGCAAGGUUGAAACUCAAAGGAAUUGACGGGGGCCCGCACAAGCGGUGGAGCAUGUGGUUUAAUUCGAAGCAACGCGAAGAACCUUACCAGGGUCUUGACAUCUUUUGAUCWCCUGAGAGAUCAGGUUUCCCCUUCGGGGGCAAAAUGACAGGUGGUGCAUGGUUGUCGUCAGCUCGUGUCGUGAGAUGUUGGGUUAAGUCCCGCAACGAGCGCAACCCUUAUGACUAGUUGCCAGCAUUUAGUUGGGCACUYUAGUAAGACUGCCGGUGACAAACCGGAGGAAGGUGGGGAUGACGUCAAAUCAUCAUGCCCCUUAUGACCUGGGCUACACACGUGCUACAAUGGAUGGUACAACGAGUUGCGAGACCGCGAGGUCAAGCUAAUCUCUUAAAGCCAUUCUCAGUUCGGACUGUAGGCUGCAACUCGCCUACACGAAGUCGGAAUCGCUAGUAAUCGCGGAUCAGCACGCCGCGGUGAAUACGUUCCCGGKCCUUGUACACACCGCCCGUCACACCAUGAGAGUUUGUAACACCCGAAGCCGGUGGCGUAACCCUUUUAGGGAGCGAGCCGUSUAAGGUGGGACAAAUGAUUAGGGUGAAGUCGUAACAAGGUAGCCGUAGGAGAACCUGCGGCUGGAUCACCUCCUUUCU
rnacentral:rRNA from 2 species